GAGAGGAGACAGCAGGGCAGCCGAUGCAUUGUUGCCAGGGCACUGGAGGGAUCUGAGAGAGUGGAGCAUAGAGAAGAGACAAAGCCACAGAAGCUGGGUUUUAGAUGUGGAAGCUGUGCUCAGGUCCAUGGAAAGACAGCUGAAUUCUUUUCUGGAGAAAUGUCCUCAGUCGAAAUGUGGAAACAGCCCAGUGGGUCCUCCAUCUCCUUUAAGCCACAGCAGGUCUCGCUCCAGUCAACAAGCUGAUCCGUAAAGUCAACUUUAGAUGCUUUUCAACUUUCUGACAGCAAAACGAAUCCCAUAUUUUUGCCCCAAACAGUCACUUGGAGUAGACAGACUUUGAGCACCUCUUCUUGCCGGUUUUCCUUUAUUCCAGCGACAAAGAGCACACAGAAGUGUACGCUCUGUGCCACGAGCACCAAACCUGAUGUGAUUGACAGCUUUGUUGGAGGGUUUUUUUUGGCUUGCUAAAAUCCCUUGUGCAAUAAUCUCUCCUUAAGUAGUUGUUUGACAUUACAGGGAGGAAAGCAAUUUCACACCCGGUUGUAUCAUUACUCAACUCAUAAGCGAUGAAAACCUGACGGUCUCUGGAAUGACUGAAAAACUUUCUGUCAUUACCAAGCUGCCAGACCAGAAAUAAACAAGUGUUUUCUGUGAUGUA